CUGACAUCCCUGGCAACUGUAUCAUUAUCAUUAAUAGAGGACCUUAGCUCCUCUUUUGAUGCAGAAAGAUCGACGGAUAGUUUUCCUUCACAAGGUAAAGGUAGGCUUGCUUGAAUAUUUGGCAUCUCAACAUCACUCUCAUCAAUUUCCAUCUCCACAUCAUUGUCAUCUUUCAGAAUAGGUAGUGUUGUAGGACAGUUAAGACUCAUUUUCAAAAGAUUCAAGCUACGCCGAGCAUUCCAUGCUGAUGAAAAACUUCCGUUGUUUCCUGCAGAUCCAUUAGACUUCAUGCGUAGAAGUUCAUCCUAUUGACAAGAAGAUAUGUGAGCAAUUUGAAAUCUAAAACUUGAUGAUGCCAAAAGGAUAAAAUGAGUAUCACAGAAGUACCACCUUUAGUUGGCGUAUCUGC
rnacentral:lncRNA from 1 species